GAUGAACGCUGGCGGCGUGCUUAACACAUGCAAGUCGAACGAUGAAGCCCAGCUUGCUGGGUGGAUUAGUGGCGAACGGGUGAGUAACACGUGAGUAACCUGCCCUUAACUCUGGGAUAAGCCUGGGAAACUGGGUCUAAUACCGGAUAGGAGCGUCCACCGCAUGGUGGGUGUUGGAAAGAUUUAUCGGAUUUGGAUGGACUCGCGGCCUAUCAGCUUGUUGGUGAGGUAAUGGCUCACCAAGGCGACGACGGGUAGCCGGCCUGAGAGGGUGACCGGCCACACUGGGACUGAGACACGGCCCAGACUCCUACGGGAGGCAGCAGUGGGGAAUAUUGCACAAUGGGCGCAAGCCUGAUGCGGCGACGCCGCGUGAGGGAUGACGGCCUUCGGGUUGUAAACCUCUUUCAGUAGGGAAGAAGCGAAAGUGACGGUACCUGCAGAAGAAGCACCGGCUAACUACGUG
rnacentral:rRNA from 1 species